UGAAGGAUAUGCUUUGUAUCUCUUCUGUGCCGCCGUGAGCUCCAUCUAUUCAUAUCAGGCCCAUAGGAUUUUAAUCACUUUGGCUCCAGCAGGCUCGAUCCAGCUUUUACAGGACUUGUUUGCAUUACCUCAGGAUUCCCAGAAGUUAGAUUAUUUGGUCCGUCUCCCACAGAGGGCUUUGGAGGUCUGGAUAAGUAUUGUCCAUUGGCAGGCAAAGGGACUGUGUCUCCUUACGGUCUCUGGCAGUGAUGUGUAUUUAUAUAAGCUUGGUUAACCUGAUAGGUCAAACGGCUCCUGAGCUACGGAGGAGAGCUGGACCCCGGGGCCGAAGUCUCGGAAAGAAACGUCUAGUCUUCUGAUUAUAGUCUUGAACUUUAUCUCUUCUGUUGGGAACCUGAGAUGAAGUCAGAAGACAUAUUCUCUGCAAAAGGUCCAGGAAUUUCAGAGCUGAAGGUAGCCAGUCAAGCAUGCACAUUCUGAGGCUACUGGAGAACACAUGCCAGGACCCCUUACCCUGUGCGUGUGGGGCCUGCAAUUGCACUGAGACUUUCAUUCAUAAUUUUAUUGCCAUGAAUGGGCUGUGCAUCAGCAGGCAGUAGGCUCCCGGCUCUGGGCCAGAUGAUCAGCCUGAACCCUGCCAAACCCCAGCUGUUGCCAUAUAGACAGCAGGAACCUCUGGGAGGAAAACGCCUUCCCAUCACUCUCUCCAUUGGCCAGGGUAGUGGGUCCACAAGCCAGGGGCUUGGCACCUGUCCCCUCCUGCCCAGCACUUCCUGUGCAUCCCUCCAGACACGGAACCCCAGACCCCAGGGCCCUGUGCUUCUAGAGUGAGGCCCUGCAGCUUCUCCAGGCCCAGCACACCAAAAGGCCAGGCCUUUCCCCACCAACAUCAAGCUCAUGGUCAGAACCAAGCUUGAUGCCCCAUUCUCAUCUAAAAGGAAUUUGGCCAAGGACAGAGUGGUGUGAAUUAAGCUUCCCAUAGAGGUCCACGAGGUAAAAAGUUCAGAAAUUCAGCUGCAACGUACAUCCUGUUCAGCACUGUGGGGAAUCGCUGUGCUUUGGAAUGAGUUUCUAGCCCCUAAUCUCUUUCAGGAAAUUAUAUCGCCCUUUCUGAUCCUCUGGCUGUGAAGUGCUGUGGGGAUUCCAUUGCACAGAAAUCCCAUCGCCUUCUCAGAGCCGUACCUGAAGGGGAGAACACCAGCCCCGUCUAACUCAGAAGAGCACAUCUCUCCAUAGAAAGGCCCUGGAAACAAUUAAGAGAUUUCAGAACUCAGUAGAAUUCAAGCAUUAGGAGAUGCCAGGAUCUGGACCUCACUCUAUGCCACCAGAUUUCCUUUGGGGAGAAAGAAAGCUUGGCCCAGAGCAGGAGCUCCAAAGUGCCAUGAUGAUUAUUUUAAAAGUUAAGGCAGGCCAGAUGCUUCUUUAUUUUAUUUUAUUUUAUUUUAUUUUAUUUUAUUUUAUUUUAUUUUUUGUAAUUGUGAUUGCAGAGCAACUUUUCCUCUUAGGGCCAGCAGACCAGCAAUUCUGGCCAAACAUGAAAUCUCUGACUUUCACUGUGUGUGUAGGGAGCAACUAUACAACUG